rnacentral:rRNA from 1 species
CAGUCGCCACGGGAAUACGUAGGUGGCAAGCGUUGUCCGGAAUUAUUGGGCGUAAAGGGCUCGCAGGCGGUUUCUUAAGUCUGAUGUGAAAGCCCCCGGCUCAACCGGGGAGGGUCAUUGGAAACUGGGAAACUUGAGUGCAGAAGAGGAGAGUGGAAUUCCACGUGUAGCGGUGAAAUGCGUAGUGAUGUGGAGGAACACCAGUGGCGAAGGCGACUCUCUGGUCUGUAACUGACGCUGAGGAGCGAAAGCGUGGGGAGCGAACAGGAUUAGAUACCCCUGUAGUCCCUGUCUCUUAUAC